rnacentral:rRNA from 1 species
AACGAACGCUGGCGGCAGGCCUAACACAUGCAAGUCGAACGGGUGUAGCAAUACAUCAGUGGCGCACGGGUGAGUAACACGUGGGAACGUACCCUUCACUACGGAACAACGUCGGGAAACUGACGCUAAUACCGUAUAAUGUCUUCGGACCAAAGAUUUAUCGGUGAAGGAUCGGCCCGCGUCUGAUUAGCUAGUUGGUGAGGUAAUGGCUCACCAAGGCGACGAUCAGUAGCUGGUCUUAGAGGAUGAUCAGCCACACUGGGACUGAGACACGGCCCAGACUCCUACGGGAGGCAGCAGUGAGGAAUCUUGGACAAUGGGCGCAAGCCUGAUCCAGCCAUGCCGCGUGAGUGAUGAAGGCCUUAGGGUUGUAAAGCUCUUUUGCCGGGGAUGAUAAUGACCGUACCCGGAGAAUAAGCCACGGCUAAAUUCGUG